UACGUAGGGUGCAAGCGUUAUCCGGAAUUAUUGGGCGUAAAGAGCUCGUAGGCGGUUUGUCGCGUCUGCUGUGAAAACUGGAGGCUCAACCUCCAGCCUGCAGUGGGUACGGGCAGACUAGAGUGCGGUAGGGGAGAUUGGAAUUCCUGGUGUAGCGGUGAAAUGCGCAGAUAUCAGGAGGAACACCGGUGGCGAAGGCGGGUCUCUGGGCAAUAACUGACGCUGAGGAGCGAAAGCGUGGGGAGCGAACAGG
rnacentral:rRNA from 1 species